AGGAGCUCAGGACUGUGAAAUACUUGUGUGACUACAAGGUAGUAAAGGAUAUAGAAUGUUAUCUUGUAAAAUGGAAAGGAUGGCCAGGUUCUACAAAUACUUGGGAACCUUUGCAAAAUCUCAAGUGUUGAUUACUGCUUCAGCAAUUCUCUAAUGGCAAGCAUUAAUUAUUUAUCUCAGAUAAAGAAAGGCAAAGCAAUAACUCCAAAAGACAAUAACAAAAUUUUGAAACUUGCCAUUGCUGAGUACAUUGUAAAGAAGGCCCGGGGAGGAUCCAAGAUGGCUGAUUAGGAGCAGCUCAGGAUUGCAGCUUACAGCAAAAGCACGGAGGGUGAGUGGACACCGCAUUUCCACAUGGAUUUUUAUUGCCCACAGACCA